ACGCUGGCGGCGUGCCUAAUACAUGCAAGUCGAACGCGAGCACUUGUGCUCGAGUGGCGAACGGGUGAGUAAUACAUAAGUAACCUGCCCUAGACAGGGGGAUAACUAUUGGAAACGAUAGCUAAGACCGCAUAGGUACGGACACUGCAUGGUGACCGUAUUAAAAGUGCCUCAAAGCACUGGUAGAGGAUGGACUUAUGGCGCAUUAGCUGGUUGGCGGGGUAACGGCCCACCAAGGCGACGAUGCGUAGCCGACCUGAGAGGGUGACCGGCCACACUGGACUGAGACACGGCCCAGACUCCUACGGGAGGCAGCAGUAGGGAAUUUUCGGCAUGGGGGAAACCCUGACGAGCACGCGCGUGAGGAGAGUUUCCGAUGUAACCUCUGUAUAAGAGACGCGCUACGAAAUGGUAGCGAGUGACGUACUUUAUUAAGAAAGCA
rnacentral:rRNA from 1 species